ACGCUCGACACCUACGGAAGGCAGCAGUGGGGAAUAUUGCACAAUGGGGGAAACCCUGAUGCAGCGACGCCGCGUGAAGGAUGAAGUAUUUCGGUAUGUAAACUUCUAUCAGCAGGGAAGAAAAUGACGGUACCUGACUAAGAAGCCCCGGCUAACUACGUGCCAUCAGCCGCGGUAAUCUGAGCGGGCUGGCAAGGC
rnacentral:rRNA from 1 species